rnacentral:lncRNA from 12 species
GAUGAAUUGGAGAGAAAAAGAGUAUAAUUAACAAUUAAAUGCUGUCCCUGACAAUGGAAGGAAGGUGGUUGAUGAACCAAAGGAGAUGGACUAUGGGCAAAAGAUCCUGAAAUGGAAAUAGCACAUAGCUGAGAGCUCAAGAGAGUGGAUAACUAAGCAUCAGGCCCCCUGGGGCUGUGCAGUUGAAAGAGACUCCAUGAAAUGGGCAGGACGAAGCUGCUCCACGUGUGUGGGUGAAGCUGGCACCUGGUGGUUGUGCCAGCAGCGCUGGGAUGGUGACGGAGGCAGUUCUGUGACCCAGACACUGGAAGGCUCCCUGGCAGUCCCACUGCAGUACAACACCACAGAAGAUCAGGUGUGUAUCUUGGCCUCAGGCCUGGAUUUACCUUCCAUGGAAACAAGAGUCUGGCACCUCGAGCAAAGGUCUGUGUGGCUCAGAGAGGUGGAGAGAGAUGCUCCAGAGAUGAAACACUGCGCUCCUCGCUGGACAGCCAGCCUCGUCCUGUCACAAACCACAUCCCUCAUGGAUGGCUUGCCUGAGGCAAAGCCCAGCAUCAAGGCAGCGUGUCCACCCUGAAACCAGCUCCUUCAAACCCAGGGAGGCACCUUGUUCCCUGCCAGACCCCUGAAAGCACAGGCAACGCUGCUGAGCUCCUCCUAAAACUCUGAGUGACACUUUCUGUGCUGGGGGCUGGGUUAGCUGGUCCCUCCACACUUAAAACUUAUUAUUGUGCAACAGCACAUCUUUUUCAAAGUUAUAGGUGGUGGUUUGCUGUCUUGGUGGGGUUUUUUUUAGCUGUUCAAAAAGUGGUUAUUUGAGAUUUUUACUUCUUCACGCCAUGAAAGCUUCCUGAAUAGAAAUAUCUGGUGGCUGUGAGUUCAAGUAACUGCUUCAAAUUAUAAACAAGA